GGAUUUGAGUCUUGAAUGUGGGAGCAGAAUUACCUGAAUAUGUGGAGUUGAUGGAGACAUUACUUGUUGAGGAUCAGAAAUUCCCCAGGAACCUUGUAAAUCUGAAGCGGAUAAAGGGAAAUAAAGAAACCAAGUUUUACAACUUUGAUGAGUGGCAAAAUUUGUCAAGAAGAGCUAGAUAUUAAGUAAUUAGCUUUUAGGAAGCAGAGUGUAUUGGACUUGGCUAUGAUAUGAAGGAAUUCAUUUAAUAAAUCAAAAGGAAAACAAAAACAACAAAAACAAGCGAAGCAUGAAUCUCCUAAUCAGCAGAAAAGGGAGGACAGCCGGAGACAAUCGUAUUCCUGAUCGAUACUGAUCUAAACUUGUGCUGGAACAAUGGGACCAUCUGGUUGCAGGAAAACAAGCUCAGGGCUCCCACUGAUUCUACAUUAUGG
rnacentral:lncRNA from 1 species